rnacentral:misc_RNA from 1 species
UACAGAGAGUGCAAGCGUUAAUCGGAAUUAUUGGGCGUAAAGCGCACGUAGGCGGACACUUAAGUCGGAUGUGAAAGCCCUAGGCUUAACCUGGGAACUGCAUUCGAUACUGGGUAUCUGGAGUAUGGUAGAGGAUAGUGGAAUUUCCGGUGUAGCGGUGAAAUGCGUAGAUAUCGGAAAGAACACCAGUGGCGAAGGCGACUAUCUGGACCAAUACUGACGCUGAGGUGCGAAAGCGUGGGGAGCAAACAGG